rnacentral:rRNA from 1 species
AUUGAACGCUGGCGGCAGGCCUAACACAUGCAAGUCGAGCGGAGCGGCGGACGGGUGAGUAAUGCCUAGGAAUCUGCCUGGUAGUGGGGGAUAACGUCCGGAAACGGGCGCUAAUACCGCAUACUCUCAGAUGAGCCUAGGUCGGAUUAGCUAGUUGGUGGGGGAAAGGCCUACCAAGGCGACGAUCCGUAACUGGUCUGAGAGGGUGAGCAGUCACACUGGGACUGAGACACGGUCCAGACUCCUACGGGAGGCAGCAGUGGGGAAUAUUGGACAAUGGGCGAAAGCCUGAUCCAGCCAUGCCGCGUGUGUGAAGAAGGUCUUCGGGUUGUAAAGCACUUUAAGUUGGGAAGCGUUACCUACAGAAUAAGCACCGGCUAACUUCGUGCCAGCAGCCGCGGUAAUUC